rnacentral:rRNA from 1 species
AGUGAACGCUGGCGGUAGGCCUAACACAUGCAAGUCGAACGGCAGCACAGUAAGAGCUUGCUCUUACGGGUGGCGAGUGGCGGACGGGUGAGGAAUACAUCGGAAUCUACUUUUUCGUGGGGGAUAACGUAGGGAAACUUACGCUAAUACCGCAUACGACCUACGGGUGAAAGCAGGGGAUCUUCGGACCUUGCGCGAUUGAAUGAGCCGAUGUCGGAUUAGCUAGUUGGCGGGGUAAAGGCCCACCAAGGCGACGAUCCGUAGCUGGUCGGAGAGGAUGAUCAGCCACACUGGAACUGAGACACGGUCCAGAGUCCUACGGGAGGCAGCAGUGGGGAAUAUUGGACAAUGGGCGCAAGCCUGAUCCAGCCAUACCGCGUGGGUGAAGAAGGCCUUCGGGUUGUAAAGCCCUUUUGUUGGGAAAGAAAAGCAGCAGGUUAAUACCCCGCUGUUCUGACGGUACCCAAAGAAUAAGCACCGGCUAACUUCGUG